rnacentral:rRNA from 1 species
GAUGAACGCUAGCGGCAGGCCUAACACAUGCAAGUCGAGGGGUAGCAGGAUUAAGCUUGCUUAAUUGCUGACGACCGGCGCACGGGUGCGUAACGCGUAUGCAACCUACCUUAUACUGGGGUAUAGCCCGGAGAAAUUCGGAUUAAUCCCCCAUAGUACUAAUGAAUCGCAUGGUUUAUUAGUUAAAGCAUUGCGUUAUAAAAUGGGCAUGCGUCCUAUUAGCUAGAUGGUGAGGUAACGGCUCACCAUGGCUACGAUAGGUAGGGGGUCUGAGAGGGUGGUCCCCCAAAAUGGUACUGAGACACGGACCAGACUGCUACGGGAGGCAGCAGUGAGGAAUAUUGGUCAAUGGGCGCAAGCCUGAACCAGCCAUGCCGCGUGCAGGAAGAAUGCCCUAUGGGUUGUAAACUGCUUUUAUUUGGGAAUAAACCUCUUUACGUGUAGAGAGCUGAAGGUACCAAAUGAAUAAGCACCGGCUAACUCCGUGCCAGCCGCCGCAGUAA